CCUACGGGGUGCUGCAGUGGGGAAUAUUGGGCAAUGGGCGCAAGCCUGACCCAGCAACGCCGCGUGAAGGAAGAAGGCUUUCGGGUUGUAAACUUCUUUUCUCAGGGACGAAGCAAGUGACGGUACCUGAGGAAUACGCCACGGCUAACUACGUGCCAGCAGCCGCGGUAAUACGUAGGUGGCAAGCGUUAUCCGGAUUUACUGGGUGUAAAGGGCGUGUAGGCGGGGACGCAAGUCAGAUGUGACAACCACGGGCUCAACCUGUGGCCUGCAUUUGAAACUGUGUUUCUGGAGUACUGGAGAGGCAGACGGAAUUCCUAGUGUAGCGGUGAAAUGCGUAGAUAUACGGAGGAACACCAGUGGCGAAGGCGGAUUGCUGGACAGUAACUGACGCUGAGGCGCGAAAGCGUGGGGAGCAAACAGGAUUAGAUACCCCUGUAGUC
rnacentral:rRNA from 1 species